GCUCGUGGAUCGAUGAAGACCGCAGCUAAAUGCGCGUCAGAAUGUGAACUGAAGGACACAUGAACACCGACAAGUUGAACGCAUAUUGCACAUCGUACUACCAGUACGAUGUACACAUUUUUGAGUGCCUAUAUUUAACAAUUCAACUGCACGUGCGCUAGCUAGCGCAUACGCGUGUUGAUUUAAUGUACACCCACGUACAACGGUAAAAGUUACAAAACACGUUGCACAUCUCGCUCCAUCGCUUACGCACGCACCUGAUUGCCUCGUUAUUUGCUGCUGGGCACAACCAACCAGGAAUGACUCGGUGGUGUUGGUGGUGGUGGUGGUGUGGUAUGUGUCUGCAAAACCCCAUGUGUCAACCUCGACUGGCCUAUGGCAGGGUUGUUUGCAGAGAGACACGUUGAAUGCGCGCACCAUCGCGCCGCGAGUGUGUUACAAGCAAUAGCGAACAUGUAAAAACAACAGCAGGCCUCAAAUAAUGUGUGACUACCCCCUAAAUUUAAGCA
rnacentral:rRNA from 1 species